UACGUAGGGUGCAAGCGUUGUCCGGAAUUAUUGGGCGUAAAGAGCUCGUAGGCGGUCUGUCGCGUCGGCUGUGAAAACCCGGGGCUCAACCCCGGGCCUGCAGUCGAUACGGGCAGACUAGAGUGCGGUAGGGGAGGCUGGAAUUCCUGGUGUAGCGGUGGAAUGCGCAGAUAUCAGGAGGAACACCGGUGGCGAAGGCGGGUCUCUGGGCCGUAACUGACGCUGAGGAGCGAAAGCGUGGGGAGCGAACAGG
rnacentral:rRNA from 1 species